rnacentral:rRNA from 1 species
UACGUAGGGAGCAAGCGUUUGUCCGGAAUCAUUGGGCGUAAAGCGCGCGUAGGCGGCCUCGUAAGUCCGUUGUGAAAGUCAAAGGCUCAACCUUUGAAAGCCGAUGGAUACUGUGAGGCUAGAGUCCGGAAGAGGCGAGUGGAAUUCCUGGUGUAGCGGUGGAAUGCGCAGAUAUCAGGAGGAACACCAAUAGCGAAGGCAGCUCGCUGGGACGGUACUGACGCUAAGGCGCGAAAGCGUGGGGGGCGAACGAGG